GCUCUGUCAGUGUUGCGCUACUGUGGACCUGGCGCGAGCAGUGCAAUAUUGAAAGAGCAG
rnacentral:pre_miRNA from 1 species